UACAGAGGGGGCAAGCGUUGUUCGGAAUUACUGGGCGUAAAGGGCGCGUAGGCGGCCUGUUAAGUCGAACGUGAAAUCCCCGGGCUCAACCCGGGAACUGCGUCCGAUACUGGCAGGCUUGAAUCCGGGAGAGGGAUGUGGAAUUCCAGGUGUAGCGGUGAAAUGCGUAGAUAUCUGGAGGAACACCGGUGGCGAAGGAGGCAUCCUGGACCGGUAUUGACGCUGAGGCGCGAAAGCCAGGGGAGCAAACGGG
rnacentral:rRNA from 1 species